GAUGAACGCUGGCGGCGUGCCUAAUACAUGCAAGUCGAGCGAACGGACGAGAAGCUUGCUUUUCUGAUGUUAGCGGCGGACGGGUGAGUAACACGUGGAUAACCUACCUAUAAUACUGGGAUAACUUCGGGAAACCGGAGCUAAUACCGGAUAAUAUUUUGAACCGCAUUGUUCAAAAGUGAAAGACGGUCUUGCUGUCACUUAUAGAUGGAUCCGCGCUGCAUUAGCUAGUUGGUAAGGUAACGGCUUACCAAGGCAACGAUGCAUAGCCGACCUGAGAGGGUGAUCGGCCACACUGGAAAUGAGAAACGGUCCAGACUCCUACGGGAGGCAGCAGUAGGGAAUCUUCCGCAAUGGGCGAAAGCAUGACGGAGCAACGCCGCGUGAGUGAUGAAGGUCUUCGGAUCGUAAAACUCUGUUAUUAGGGAAGAACAUAUGUGUAAGUAACUGUGAACAUCUUGACGGUACAUAAUCAGAAAGCCACGGCUAACUACGUG
rnacentral:rRNA from 1 species